rnacentral:piRNA from 1 species
UGGUCUCUGCCUCCCACUUAACAGCU